UUAGCUGGCUUUUGGGCUGAAAUGGCUGACACUGUUAAUGCUGAGGUGAUUUUGCAAAAGUGUUUUGAUGUUC